rnacentral:lncRNA from 10 species
CUUCAAAGAAAAAACAUUAUUGGAGUACAUUGCCAAAUCCUCAUCCCCAUCAUACCCGAAACCCUGGAAAGCUGAGUGAAAGGUGGUUCAGGUUUACUGUCCUUUACUGGGUAAUAGUAGUGAGAAAGUUUAAAAAGAUCUGGGAUCCUCAUGGCCCUCAAAGAGUUUCCAGUCUGGUUCAUCAUUUCCUGCUUCCUAGUCUGAUAAAUAAUGAGCCAAACCAUGUCACAGCAGCAGACCUCAUCUGCCAAUCAGGUCAUCUUUAAUACAAAGGACCUUAAUGAGGGAGAAGAAAAGGCUGGGGCAGGAGGGGAGAGGGUGGAAGAAGUUGUUCUUCACCAGUAGCAUACACAACAGCCUAGAAAACAACCAGGCAAACUGUAUCUGUAAGGAAAGGGAGCAGCCAGAGGCUUCAUCCGAAAACAAGUCCUGUUUUCAGCGGACUUUGGCAGAGUUGAGAGAAGACUAACCUAUUGGCAAGCCUUGCCAGAAGAUGCUAAAUGAAAGGAAGAAAAAUGAGAAAACUGAGGCUGGGAGGAGUGAGCCACUUGCCCAAGCAAACACAGCUAACAAGCUCUAAGCACUGUGAGGACAGAGGUCCUGUUGGCCUCAUGCACCACUGUCUAGACCUGCACCCACUGUUCAGAAUGGCAGCCAUGAGCCACGUGUGGCAACUGGGUACUCAAGUGAGGCAGCCGUGAAUUGAGAUGUGCUAUGAAAGUAAAAUACACCUGGAUUUCAGAAACUUCAAAUGAAAACGAUAAUGUAAAAUGUAUUGUGAUAUUUUGGAUAUAUUGGGUUAAAUAAAAUACAUUAAAG